ACUGCCGAAGGCCCUCCGGCCGCUGCCGAUGCGCGAGUUGUAGCCUGGGGGGUGCAGAGCUCAGCCCCCCUGCGCCCGCAGUGCGGGGACUUCACCCACAGCUGCUGGGAGUCAGCCUCAGCUACUGGGAUUUACCCGCAGGUAAUGGGAUUCAGCCUCAGCUUAUUGGGAUUCAGCCUGAGAUGUUGGGAUUCAGCCUCAGAUAUUAGGAUUCAUCCUCAGCUAUUGGGAUUUACCCCCAGGUAAUGGGAUUCAGCCUCAGCUUACUGGGAUUCAGCCUGUGGUGUUGGGAUUCAGCCUCAGAUAUUAGGAUUUACACCCAGGGAACUGGAUUCAGCCUCAGCUAUUGGGAUUCAGCCACAGGUGCUGGGAUUCAGCCUCAGAUAUUAGGAUUCAUCCUCAGCUAUUGGGAUUUACCCACACGUAAUGGGAUUCAGCCCCAGGUGCUGGGAUUCACCCUAAGAUAUUAGGAUUCACCCUCAGUUA